GCACAAGCGGUGGAGCAUGUGGCUUAAUUCGACGCAACGCGAAGAACCUUACCAAGGCUUGACGUACACCGGAAACGGCCAGAGAUGGUCGCCCCCUUGUGGUCGGUGUACAGGUGGUGCAUGGCUGUCGUCAGCUCGUGUCGUGAGAUGUUGGGUUAAGUCCCGCAACGAGCGCAACCCUUGUUCUGUGUUGCCAGCAUGCCCUUCGGGGUGAUGGGGACUCACAGGAGACUGCCGGGGUCAACUCGGAGGAAGGUGGGGACGACGUCAAGUCAUCAUGCCCCUUAUGUCUUGGGCUGCACACGUGCUACAAUGGCAGGUACAAUGAGCUGCGAAGCCGUGAGGCGGAGCGAAUCUCAAAAAGCCUGUCUCAGUUCGGAUUGGGGUCUGCAACUCGACCCCAUGAAGUCGGAGUUGCUAGUAAUCGCAGAUCAGCAUUGCUGCGGUGAAUACGUUCCCGGGC
rnacentral:rRNA from 1 species